rnacentral:rRNA from 1 species
GAUUACGGCCAUACUACCUUAGGCACGCCCGAUCUCGUCUGAUCUCGGAAGCUAAGCAGGGUCGGGCCUGGUUAGUACUUGGAUGGGUGACCGCCUGGGAAUACCAGGUGCUGUAAGCA